UGAUGAGCGGGUCUUCAAGGUAUGGUGAAUGCAUAAUUGAUGGUUCUUUGUAUUUCUGCCUGAACUUUUUUGCUUGUGAAUUACCUUCUUAUUUGAGUAGCAAAAUUUAACCUUGAAAAGUUUUGGAUUUAUUUUGUUCUUUAAACUUAAUGUUGCAAUUGUGGGUGUUUUGUACGUUUGCUUUUCUUAUUUUGAGUCUAUUUCUGUUUUUUUCUUGGAAGUUUGAUUUUAUUUGAAUAGCCUUCAUACACAUGAAUUGGCAUUAAUAAUCAGUGACUCUACUGGUCAUAAAACAAGGAAACCUAUGUGCAAAGGCCACAAAUAAGAUGCUGAUGCAUAAUACUAAGUGAGUGCAUAGCGAAUUUCUACUAAGCGCAAUAUUAAAUGCACACACGUCUGUUCUCAACUAAUUAGGUGUGUCCUUCACAAAUGUUUAAUGAAAGAUGAUAUGGCUCUUUUAGUUGUGAUUUUGAAUGCGGAAAAUGCAAUAGAUAACAAAAACAAAGAACUAUCAUGAUUGUUUUAAUGCCUUCCAAAAGUUAGAAAUGUUUAAUUAAAGAUCAGCAGAAUUUGUAGUGA
rnacentral:misc_RNA from 1 species